rnacentral:rRNA from 1 species
UGACCUCGAUCAAGGUAGAAUCCCCAGUCCC